rnacentral:rRNA from 1 species
CCGGUUGAUCCUGCCGGAGGCUACCGCUAUUGGAGUUCGAUUAAGCCAUGCGAGUCGCGAGUCUUAAGGACUCGGCGUACCGCUCAGUAACACGUGGGUAACCUGCCCUAUGCUGGGGGAUAACCUCGGGAAACUGAGAAUAAUACCCCAUAGUUCACCACGCCUGGAACGGUUGGUGGACCAAAGCUCCGGCGGCAUAGGAUGGGCCUGCGGCGUAUCAGGUUGUAGGGGGUGUAAUGUACCCUCUAGCCCUCUACGCGUACGGGUGUUGAGAGACAUCGCCCGGAGAUGGAUUCUGAGACACGAAUCCAGACCCUACGGGGUGCAGCAGGCGCGAAAACUUGGCAAUGCGAGAAAUCGUGACCAGGGAACUCCAAGUGCAUCGGGUAAGACCGAUGCUUUUCUUGACUCUUCAAAGGUCUUGGAAUAAGGGGUGGGUAAGGACGGUGCCAGCCGCCGCGGUAAUACCGGCGCCCCAAGUGGUAGUCGCUUUUAUUGGGCCUAAAACGUCCGUAGCCGGUCUGGUACAUUCGUGGGUAAAUCAACCAGCUCAACUGGUUGAAUUCUGCGAGCACGGCCAGACUUGGGACCGGGAGAGGUGUGGGGUACUCUCAGGGUAGGGGUAAAAUCCUGUCAUCCUGAGAGGACCACCUGUUGCGAAGGCGCCACACUAGAACGGAUCCGACGGUCAGGGACGAAGCCUAGGGGCACGAACCGGAUUAGAUACCCGGGUAGUCCUAGGUGUAAACGCUGUGGACUUGAUGUUGGGGGCGCUCCGAGCGCACUCAGUGUCGAAGCGAAGGUGAUAAGUCCACUGCCUGGGGAGUACGGUCGCAAGGCUGAAACUUAAAGGAAUUGGCGGGGGAGCACUGCAACCUGAGGAUUGUGCGGUUUAAUUGGAUCAACGCCGG